UGCUGGUCGAACUGAGCGGUUCAUGGCGGAUCUUUCUGUGGUCACUUCUCCUGCUAGUUUCUGCUCUUUAUUGACAGUUUUUCCUUAUGAUUAAAGGAAAUAUUCCGAACUGCUUUGGGAGAGAACAGCUGAAGCUGGACCUUCUGGAGACGCUCGGACAGAUGCACAAUGAGGGACGUCUGCAGCGACUGAGAAAGAGUCUCACCACAUCCUGACAUGAGGAAAAAGACUUCAUUGAAGACUACAAUGAGAAAAACUAUCAGACAGCAGACGGCAUGCAUUCAAGCUGCUGAAUUCAUGGAUGAAUCAUCUGGCACUAGAGAGGAAGACCAUCAAACAUCCACAUCAGCUGAUGGAGGUCCAAGAGUCUCACCAAACAAACAACCUACAGAGUGAAGACCUCCAAUCUGAUUGGACGGCCUCCUAUUCAGCCACAUUUUAGGCUGUUAGAUUGUUCCAGAUAAGACAAGUACAAGAUUCUUCAGAGCCGUUCUACCACGAGCCUGACAGGAAGAACUCCAACAGCUACUGAAUGUUCCUGUGGUCCCCUCAAGGCUACAGGAGGAGUCCUACGAGGACGAGCCGGUCCACCUGAUGGUGGCCAGUAGCUGUGGUUCAAAGCCAACACCGACUACGUGGACUUCUACUGGACCACACGGAGGCCUUCAAACCGGACCAACAAGUUCAGCGACUCCCCGACUCGUGGGUCUGAGGAUGCUGCCGAGCCUCGGUCCAGCUGGCCUCCUGUCUGUGGGUGUUUGAGUGCUGAGAGGUUUGUGGAUGCAUGUGAACGUUCUGUGUUGAAACAGCAGCUUUGGACUCAGUAACGCCGGGAAAAACCAAGAGCUCCUUUAUUUGUGACUUCCACUAAAAAACUGAUGAAAAUAAGUUUGCCAGGGUUCUGACUGAUAACAGAUUAUUAAAUAAUGAAAAUAAUAGUUUAAAUAUUCCUUUAAACAAUCCUUUUAGGUCUACAUUUCCUUUACACUGACUUCUUGGUAUAUGUACAAGUAUUUUGGGUUAGGGUCUUUUAGUCUACAUGUAAGGAUGUUUAGGAUGGUAUAUUCUUCCAAACCAACUUCUCAGGUCUACAUUUCAGGUGGAAUAUUCCUCCAUACUAACUUUUUUGGUCUGCAUUGAAGGAUUUUUUCUAAACCACCCUUUCGGGUCUAUAUUUGAGGAUUUAGGUGGAAUAUUCCUUUUAACGAGCCCCUCAGGUCUCUUUGAGGAUUUUGGAUGGAAUACUCGGUUAAACCAACAUUUUAGGUGCAUGUCCAAGGAUUUUUGGUGGAAUGUUCCUCUAAGGUGGAUGUGUGAGGACCUUGUAGGUGGAAUACUUCCUGAAACCAACCUUUUAGGUCAACAUUCAAAGAUUUAAGAUGGAAUAUUCCUUUAAACCAACCUAAAUUUCAUGUUUUGAUCAUUAUCAAGCGAGAAACCUCAAUCCAGACUCCUCAUAAUGACGUUUGAGAUUUAUGCUGCUGUUAUUUGUUUAGUCCAGACUAAAUGACAGAAAUCCACAACUGUAAUUUUAUCUCAGGACUCGGUUAUUAAAUGUCAAAACUAGAAAAGCACUCAGAGAGCGCAGUACUCCACCAAGGCUGUUCAGUUGACGUAUCAUUUCCGAUGGAUGAAAUCUUUAAUAAAAAAUGAUCUUGUGCUGAGCACAGGCAUGUGUUAUGCAUGUGCAUGUUAUGCACGAAUACCAAAUUGUGUGUAAAUUACUCUUAUAAAAGUCUGUUGAUCAGUUCAUCACUUUUGACAAACCUUUGUUUUGCUAGUGUUAAAAUAACGGCUCCUUUCAUGCUUUUAUUUUGAAGACAUAGUUUUAAUGUUGCAGGCUUUUAUUUUGUCACCAUUCCAGCAGCACAGGAAGUGAUUCUCUAAGAAGCGGUUUCUUGACAUGACGAAGAUGCUGCCGAAAAGUCCGAAAAUUCAAAUAAAGAUGAAAGAAAGCGGUUCCACGCUGUUGCUGUCUAGCAAAGGAUGCGUCUAAACUUAGAAGCAGCUAGUGGGGACAAGCUCUUACUGUGAAGAAAUGAGUGAAGGACAGAAAGGUGAAUUUGUGUUCAAAAUAAGGCUGACAGCUGAACUUAAGGUGUCUGGCUGGGGUUUGCUACAUCACGUGACCUAAAUAUGUAGCGGACGGUAGGAAUUGAUGGGACUCAGAAACAACCCACAGUUUAAUUAUUUGUUCCUUGUAUGAUUUCCAGCUGAUAAAUCACAGUCAGUUUGUAGUAGGAUCGCAAUCAUGUGAUCGUCAGCAGGGAAAUCUUUAACAAAGCUGUAGGUCCAGACUAUAAGCCGCAUCACUGCCAAAAUCUAAUCACUUGGUCCUUGUGUCAUUUCUGACUUUCUCUGAAAAUUUCAUCCAAAUCUGUUGCUCCGUUUUUCAGUAAUGUUUCACACAGACGGACAGAUUCACAGAUAAAGUUACGCUGAUCGUCACAUAACUCCGCCCGUUCCUUGGCGGAGUAACAAUCCAUGCGACUCUAAAAACUCAACAGCUUUACAAACUCUAAGAUUAAACUCUCCAUAAGGAUCCAAAAUAAGUUGGACUUCUACAUGAGAGCUUUAAUUAUUCUUCAUCUACUUCCUGAAAAGUUUGGUCAAUAAAAAAGACAAAAAUUGAUAUUUUCAGCUGAACUAAAGACAGACUUUGUGAUUUUUCUGCUCACAUGUUGUGUUGUUGUAAACUUCCUCUUUCAAAUAAAUAGCCUCCUAACCCCCUGGAAACCAGCAUUUGUCCUGUUUUUGUGUUGCUCAUCAGAGACCCUAGACAGCCGGGUCCUAAUGUUUUUUGAGCAACACACCAUACUAUGACGUUUUUACAAUGAUGGUUCUACUAUGGAACCAGUUUGACAUGUUCAGGUGUUCUUUUUGUGAAAAUUCAGAGAUUUCAGGGAUCAGAAGGUGGUUUUCAUCUUUCUUUGUUAACUUUCUGCUUCAACUUUAAACUAAAUUUCCUUCACUAACCCAGCCCUCUGUACUUCCAGUAAGCUGUGUUCCUAUUGGCUGUCCAGGUGGCUGCUUGGUGUUAUCAGGAACACCUGAGCAGCUCAGUGUCUUCCUGCUUUAUUUAGCUGCAGACAAACAUUUCCUCUGUUUCUCUUCACCACUGAACCGGGUUUGACUCUGUUGCUUUAGUUUGUUUUUUAGGCGUUGGCUUGCAGCUUCCAGCAGUAAAAUCGUCUUUAAUGUGUUUCUUGGUGUGUUUUAGGGCUUUGUACUGGAUAGUUGUCUUGGUAAAUGUGGUUCUUUAGCUACAGUUAGCACAUGGUGCUAAUGUGUGCAGUGAUUAGUGGAUUUGUUGCAGCUGAGUUGUGUCUUUAUCUUGGCUGUAGUGAGUCUUUAGAGGUUUUUGGUCAGACACAUUCUGUAUUCUUGUUUGAGAACCAACGUUGGUUGUCCAGAAGGUAAGAGUUCCUGUCCUGAUUCUCUGUUCUCAGAGGUUCUCUGGUAGGCUGCAGGAGACUUUAGUGUUUGGGUUGUGCAAGUUUGGUUUUUGUAUGGUUUCAUUUGGACGACUAUCUUGAGGCUCCUCCAUGUGGUUUAGUGAGGUUUUCUGGAACAGUUCUACAAAGCAACCUGCAGCAGAAGAGACUUUGAGAGUUUUUAGGAAGUUCUGGAGACCAGACUUUAGAGCAGCAGAAACAUUUGUCAGCAGUUUGAGGAGGAGAAGGUGAGCUUCAGAGUAGAAAUGAGAAGGAAACCUUCUUGACCCGUGUGGUGAGGUCCUGUACCAAGAGUUUGAGCAGGUUGUGAAGAGUCUGUAGUUCUUUGGUCUGAAAGCACAAGAAGAGUCGACUCAUUAAAGGAGAAAACAGGAGAUAUUGUUGGUUCUUCCGUCACUCUACAGUUUCCAGUUUCCUUAGACUGAAUAUCAAGUUUAUAUUUGAAAUGAUUUCCCAUGUGAGCCCAAGAAGACUUCAAUAAACUCACUCCAUCCCCUGGACACAACAUAUUUUAUUACCAUGUUAAGUCUUUUUAAAAAAAAUUUUUUUUUAUAUCGUUUUAGCAGUUUUUUCUCUUUGGUUGUUUAGUUUUGUCAUCUGUGUGAAAGGUGCUAAACAAAUAAAGUUGAA